CUUAAUUCUUAUCACAGAAAAAAAUGAAAAAAAUUGCCGUUCCCACCGUCAUCAUCUCCAUACCCCCUACCACCACCACGAUCUCCAUCACCGCCACCGCAACAAGCACAAUCACCUAUGUUACGUCCGCCACUAAUAUUAACAGAUUUAUCACGAGUUCGAUUUCUACUAAUUUUAAACGAAAUUCAGAGAUCGAUUUGAUUUUUGGUUCUCUAUUCGGUAAUUUCAAGUUGAGAUUCAGAUUUCAAGUGGAUUUUGGGUUAAAGAUUCGUAUUCAGUAAAUUGAGUUCGAGAUUUUUUUAUUCUGAAACUGGAUGGAGGUGUUAGUGUUGUUGCAGCGGAACAACAUGUUGGAUGGUAUUGUCGUCUAAAAGUAUAUAUAAAGAUCGAGAAUGGAAAACAGUGGAGAACCAGUUGCUAAUAACAAUUCAAGGAGCGGAAAAGGAAAAUGCUCAAGAAAAAUUUAACCUAUUACAGCAAAAUGCGCAAACAAAAGCACAAAGGUCAAUUAAAUCAUCCAUGCUUUCUUAAAUGUUGGAUUGUCCUUUGGUUGCUAAAGGGUAUUCUGGUACGUUAGAGAUUGUUACUGUUCAACUAGCAGUUCAUACAAUGUAACGUAAGAGAUGAUUGCUACUUCAACGAAGUAUUUCAUAUCAUCUAGUUAGAGAUAGUUGCUAUCUUUGUGAGUAGUUCAUUCUUUGUAGAACUAGGAACUUGAAUUCAUUAUAUUUUGAGAGAUUCAUAGUACAUAAUGUGUUAUUAACGCAGUCAUAGAAUGAUAGAAAGGCAUGUUUAUGUUGUUUAGUUCACGAAAUACUUUUAUUAAGCGGUCAUCUUCAUUGUGAAAAAGAUCUCCGGACUUUAGUUUUUAUGGGAUAAACUUCAGUUGUUGAUCCCAUUUAUGGAUAAACUUCAGUGUUGAUCCCAUUUAU